rnacentral:lncRNA from 1 species
UGAGAUAUUGUUAUAAAGAAUUAAUUGUUACAAACAUAAUGGUGUAAUCGGAUCAUAAAUUAGAUGAGUAAUUUAAUAGAAAAUUCCAUAAGAAGAAAAAAUACAUGCACUUUUGGGUGUACAAGUAACAAUAGAUAUGAGAUUGAGGUAGCUGGUUAUAACAAUACAGAGAACGGUCUCGUUGUAGACACGUCCUUGCGAGUGAGAAUUGAGGAGACGGAGUCUAGGAAAGAGAGGCUUUCCGCUCACUGCAACUACCUCCUUUUUCAUUGUCACAACUACGACAAAAACUAUGGAAACAUAGAGAGGCAACUCAGAAUUAAUUUAUUUUUUAAAACUUCAUCUAUUCUUUUGAACCUCAAAAAAGAUAGGGAGCUUAUGCUUUCAUUAAGUAAAAGAGAGUUGACCAAUAGAGAAAAAAUGGGUCCAAAAAACUUACAACUACGCAGCAUACAACUGGUGAAAAUCAGUAAAAACCCAUGCAUAGAAGCAAAGAACUAAAAAUUUCGGCGUCACGACUACUGAAUUUCAGCAUUGACAAAUUUUAAAUUGUUUUUGUCCAUUGAUUUUGGCAUCUAAUUAAACAUACCUUUUGCAAAGAAACAACACAAAUCAACCUGGCUACACACACAGGAACAGCCAGUAACAUCUCUAUAUAUUAGUGGUGUUGGCAGUGAAUCUACCACUCAAUUACCCUUUAAACUUUUUCAUAUUAAAUUAAAUUAUGUUUUCCUCUUUUAGGCCAUUGUCUUAUGGAAGGAUGAAGACGGCGAUGAUGUAAUUGUAUGUCUAGGAUCAACGUAAUUGAGCACUGAAUUAUGCUCAGGCCGGCAAAAGCAGCUAGCUAGCCUACUGACUUUAUGCCUGCUAUAAUUUGUGCUUUUGGUCCAUCGCUAGAGAUAAGAACAUCUUAAGAAUAGACAAUCACUAGUGGUCUCCACUCUCCGCUCUCCAUUUCAUUAAAGUUACCAUUAUCAGAGAGAGAGAUAUUUUUUCCUAAUCGCCCACCUCUAAUAUAUAUGUCCUUUUGGUCCCUCCUCUUUCUUUAAACAAAUAAUUUUCCUUAUUAUCCAACUACAGAGAAUCCUACUUUUGCAAAAAGCUUGCCAAGCCCCAAUAAUUACCCGGAAUAAGCAUACUAAAAGAAAGCACUCCCUCCGUUCUAAAAUAAGUGACUAACUUUAUCAUGUAUAGGCUAUAUUAGGAAAGCUGGGAGGUAAAUGAUACUCCUUAUUAAAUGAGGGAUGUAUAUGAGUGAGAGGGUAGUUGGAGGUAAGAUAUAUGAGAAAAAAAAGUUAAAUAAGAAGUACUCUCUCAUUCCCUAAAUAUUUGACACCGUUGACUUUUUUAAACAUGUUUGACCGUUCAUUUUAUUCAAAAACUUUUGUGAAAUGUGUAAAACUAUAUGUAUAAAAAAAGUAUAUUUAACAAUAAAUCAAAUGAUAUGAAAAAAAUUAAUAAUUAUUUUUUCCUAAUCGGCCACCUCUAAUAUAUCUGUCCUUUUGGUCCCUCCUCUUUAUUUAAACAAAUAAUUUUCCUUAUUAUCCAACUACAGAGAAUCCUACUUAUGCAAAAAGCUUGCCAAGCCCCAAUAAUUACCCAGAAUUUCUGCUCCACUUGGCCAAAAGCAUACUAAAAGAAAGCACUCCCUCCGUUCUAAAAUAAGUGACUAACUUUAUCAUGUAUAGUCUAAAUUACAAGGAAAGCUGAGAGGUAAAUGAUACCCCUUAUUAAAUGAGGGAUGUAUAUGUGUG